CGAAAGCCUGACGGAGCAAGACCGCGUGGGGGAAGAAGGCUCUUGGGUUGUAAACCCCUUUUCUCUGGGAAGAAAGUUGUGAAAGCAACCUGACGGUACCAGAGGAAUCAGCAUCGGCUAACUCCGUGCCAGCAGCCGCGGUAAGACGGAGGAUGCAAGCGUUAUCCGGAAUGAUUGGGCGUAAAGCGUCCGCAGGUGGCAGUUCAAGUCUGCUGUCAAAGACCGGGGCUCAACCUCGGAAAGGCAGUGGAAACUGAACAGCUAGAGUAUGGUAGGGGCAAAGGGAAUUCCUGGUGUAGCGGUGAAAUGCGUAGAGAUCAGGAAGAACAUCGGUGGCGAAGGCGCUUUGCUGGACCAUAACUGACACUCAGGGACGAAAGCUAGGGGAGCG
rnacentral:rRNA from 2 species